rnacentral:ribozyme from 1 species
GAUCUACGUCUAUUACGAUGUGCACGUCCUCUAUAUUUUGUAGUGGCAGAUCUGAAAGCAGCGAAAGAUACAGUAGUUAUAUUAAGAGAAUUGAGUGGAUGCUUUCCUUGUCCUAAGACUAUCACUCAGGACCUCAUGCAUCAAU